rnacentral:rRNA from 1 species
AUUGAACGCUGGCGGCAUGCCUAACACAUGCAUGUCGAGCGGAUGAGGGAAGCUUGCUUCCUGAUUUAGCGGCGGACGGGUGAGUAAUGCCUAGGAAUCUGCCUAUUAGUGGGGGAUAACGUUCCGAAAGGAACGCUAAUACCGCAUACGUCCUACGGGAGAAAGUGGGGGAUCUUCGGACCUCACGCUAAUAGAUGAGCCUAGGUCGGAUUAGCUAGUUGGUGAGGUAACGGCUCACCAAGGCGACGAUCCGUAGCUGGUCUGAGAGGAUGAUCAGCCACACUGGAACUGAGACACGGUCCAGACUCCUACGGGAGGCAGCAGUGGGGAAUAUUGGACAAUGGGCGAAAGCCUGAUCCAGCCAUGCCGCGUGUGUGAAGAAGGUCUUCGGAUUGUAAAGCACUUUAAGUUGGGAGGAAGGGCUGUAAGCUAAUAUCUUGCAGCUUUGACGUUACCAACAGAAUAAGCACCGGCUAACUCUGUGCCAGCCGCCGCAGUAACAC